AUCAUCCUUAAGACUACUUACGACAUUCUCCAUUGAUUACUCAUCAGACAUAUGUAUGUUUGUGUCGCAAAUAGUUUUAUGAUUUGAUAAGUAAGCCGGAAGUUUAUCUUUUUUUUAUUCGAAAAUAUGUGCAUCGCUUUCAGCAAGUAAAUUAACAAACAUGGAAAUAAUUUUAAAUAUGGUCUGUAUACAACGUAAUUCCAAGUCUACAGCACAAACAACUUGGUACAUGGCCCCUAGUGAAUUAUAAUUAUUGGUACUAAAGGUGCAUGUUCAUGUUUUUUUUUAACAUGAACUAAUAACUGUAAAAAAAAACAUAAAGGCUUCUAGAGUGUGCAGUAAAUGCAGAGAUAGCAUGUCCAAUUUACAUCAUAUCCACAUUGGAACAAAACCGAUAAACAAAUUACAGAUUAAACUGAAAUAGGUAUCUACUAUUGUAUUCCUAAAUUAAGGGGUUUUAUUUCAAUGCAGAUAUGGUUGUUAAAAAUCACCAAAAAUACUUUGUGCUAAUAGAAAUUCGUUUAUACACUUACCCAGAAUGAAGUUAUAUUUUGGCCAUGUAUUGCAGCUUCUAUGGCCACUAAACUAAAGGCAGAUUAUGUUGGAUGAUCAGAGGGAUUGGGGCAGUAAGGCUUUUGCUUUACGGUACUAGAUAAAUACCACACUUACUUCAUCUUUUUCUAGGAAGAAUUGCCUUAUAUGAUUACUUCUUUAGUAACCUGAAGCAUUAAUUGAAAAAGAAGCGUAUUAAAAGGACUACAAAAGAACACUGUGUCAUACCAAAACAACAUGUCGAAGAGGACCAGCAUGACAGUUUUAUGG
rnacentral:lncRNA from 1 species